CCGAUUGGUUCCGGGUUCGAAUCCCGGGCAACCUA
rnacentral:tRNA from 1 species